CACUGGUCUUCAGGCCUUCCCGGGUAUGAAGUCUGAGCCCAGGGUCCCACGAGGGGCACCAUGCCCAGCACCAUCCUGAGGACUGACCUCCUCUUUCCCCUCCCCCACUUUUUAUAAAGAUUUUAUUUAAUAGAGAGCGAGAGAGCAGGGAGGAGGGGCAGAGGGAGUGAGAGAGCCUCCAGCAGACUCCCUGCUGCAUGCGGAGCCUGAUGGGCUCCAUCCCAGGACCUGGGAUCAUGACCUGAGCCAAAAACAAGUCAGACGGCCACCCGACCGAGCCACCCGGGCGCCCCUCCACCACCCUCUCACGUCCCUGUCGCUCUCUUGGAAACUCAAUUUCUGGCUUCACCCUCACCCCUCCUCUCCAUUCCUGUUCUUUCCCUUUCUCCCUCUGCUCUUGGGCUGACACCAACUAUUGUGGAAUUCAGUCUAACGGCAACCGAAGCCAUUGUCUCCAGCCGCUGGCAAAGGGGAAGGCGACAUGUCCACACACGUGCCCCUCGCUCCCUUGGACAGCCCGUUGUCCCCGGGUCGGUGACCAGAGCUCAGUGACCGGCGACCGGUGACCAGGCCGCGUCAUGUUCGAGCGAGUGGAGCCUUGGGCUCAGCCUCCCGGCCGAGGACUCAUACUUCUGACCGGCCAGCGGUCUUGUUUCCCGUGGCUCCUGGAAGAGGAGGUCACCUGCCCCCUCAACUCUGUGGAGGUGGAAACUUCUAGAACCCUACAGGGAGACUCAAGUAGGAACGUCUGAGAUUAAUUCCUUAGGACUGCUAACCCCGGCUUCUUACGGGACAAAAGAAAUCGAAAAUGUUUCUUCACAGCCGGCACUGACCUCUGAACAAGAUUGGUUCCCACGGACAGGCUGCAGCCAGGAGCAGCGAGGGUCCCCCACUCCGUCCCCCACUCUUCUCCUUGCCGCUGAGGGAACAAGUCCAGUCCAGAGCACACCGGGGAGUCAACAGGUUUGCCGCCCGUGUUUGCUGAAGCAGAUGUGGAGCUUCCUGAGGAGAGAGUGUGAGGCUCGGGGAGGGCUGCCCGGAGGCUGCGGACGUGGCGUGGGGCAGCUGAGUCCUGCAUCACAGCGCGAAUCACGCGGCUGGCGUGGGCAUCCACCCUCCACGGGCAACCCUCAGAGGCGACGUGUGAUGUGUGUGCACGUGUCAGGGUGUGUGUGUGUGCAUGUGCACAGGGUGUGUGUGUGCAAGUGUACAGGGUGUGUGUGUGAUGUGUGUGCACGUGUCAGGGUGUGUGUGUGUGUGCAUGUGCACAGGGUGUGUGUGUGUGAUGCGUGAAGUGUGAUGUGUGUGUGUGCUGGGUGUGUGCCUUAUUUGAGCACCUCCCUGUGGAAGGGCCCCAAGGG
rnacentral:lncRNA from 12 species